rnacentral:pre_miRNA from 1 species
AUAUGAAUCAUCUGAGGAUCUUGUUAAAAUACACAUUCUGAUUGAAUUGGUCUGGGGUGGGCUGAGCUUUUGCAUUUCUAAUACUCUCCCAUGAGAUUGAUAC